rnacentral:rRNA from 1 species
CCGAUUAGUUGAUCAUGGCUCAGAUGAACGCUGGCGGCAGGCCUACACAUGCAAGUCGAGCGGUAGAGAGAAGCUUGCUUCUCUUGAGAGCGGCGGACGGGUGAGUAAUGCCUAGGAAUCUGCCUAGUGGUGGGGGAUAACGUUCGGAAACGGACGCUAAUACCGCAUACGUCCUACGGGAGAAAGCGGGGGAUCUUCGGACCUCGCGCCAUUAGAUGAGCCUAGGUCGGAUUAGCUAGUUGGUGAGGUAAUGGCUCACCAAGGCGACGAUCCGUAACUGGUCUGAGAGGAUGAUCAGUCACACUGGAACUGAGACACGGUCCAGACUCCUACGGGAGGCAGCAGUGGGGAAUAUUGGACAAUGGGCGAAAGCCUGAUCCAGCCAUGCCGCGUGUGUGAAGAAGGUCUUCGGAUUGUAAAGCACUUUAAGUUGGGAGGAAGGGUAGUAACCUAAUACGUUGCUACUUUGACGUUACCGACAGAAUAAGCACCGGCUAACUUCGUGCCAGCAGCCGCGGUAAUACGAAGGGUGCAAGCGUUAAUCGGAAUUACUGGGCGUAAAGCGCGCGUAGGUGGUUCAGUAAGUUGGAAGUGAAAUCCCCGGGCUCAACCUGGGAACUGCUUUCAAAACUGCUGAGCUAGAGUACGGUAGAGGGUGGUGGAAUUUCCUGUGUAGCGGUGAAAUGCGUAGAUAUAGGAAGGAACACCAGUGGCGAAGGCGACCACCUGGACUGAUACUGACACUGAGGUGCGAAAGCGUGGGGAGCAAACAGGAUUAGAUACCCUGGUAGUCCACGCCGUAAACGAUGUCAACUAGCCGUUGGAAUCCUUGAGAUUUUAGUGGCGCAGCUAACGCAUUAAGUGACCGC